rnacentral:tRNA from 1 species
GGGUACAUAGCUCAGUAGUAGAGGGCGUGCUUAGCAUGCAUGAGGUCCUGGAUUCAAUCCCAGUACCUCCA